UACGUAGGGGGCAAGCGUUGUCCGGAUUUAUUGGGCGUAAAGAGCGUGUAGGCGGCCAGACAAGUCUGCUGUGAAAACUCGAGGCUCAACCUCGAGCUGUCGGUGGAAACUGUCUGGCUAGAGUCCGGAAGAGGCGAGUGGAAUUCCUGGUGUAGCGGUGAAAUGCGUAGAUAUCGGGGGGAAUACCAGUGGCGAAAGCGGCACCCUAGCGUUAGCCUGACGCUCAUGUGCGAAAGCGUGGGGAGCGAACGGG
rnacentral:rRNA from 1 species